GUGCCAGCAGCCGCGGUAAUACGUAGGGGGCGAGCGUUGUCCGGAAUUACUGGGCGUAAAGAGCGCGUAGGCGGUGCGUUAAGUCGGCUGUGAAAUCUCCCGGCUCAACUGGGAGGGGACGGCCGAGACUGGCGGGCUUGAGGGUGGCAGAGGGAGGCGGAAUUCCCGGAGUAGUGGUGAAAUGCGUAGAUACCGGGAGGAACACCAGUGGCGAAGGCGGCCUCCUGGGCUUCUCCUGACGCUGAGGCGCGAGAGCGUGGGGAGCGAACCGGAUUAGAUACCCCCGUAGUCC
rnacentral:rRNA from 1 species